AUGUAAUUGGUUGUUUAAAUUAAUUUCUUUUCUAAUUAAUCUUAGUUGGGUUUUCUUUAUGGCUUUGCUGGUUGUUUAUUGGUUAAAAUUCCGAGGCAAUUAAUGAGUGGUUUGAUUGCUUAGCUGGGGACAUAUUUAAUUAGCUUGAUUGCCUUAUUAAUUAGCUCAUUUAUGUGGUCAUUAAUGGCACGAGAAGCAGUUUUGAUGGGUAAUAUCUAAUUGGAUUAAUGUAAUUAGUGUAAUUAGCGAUUAAAUGACAGGAUCUGUUACUUGGGGCAUCUCGUUAGCUAAAAAGCCUUAACUCACUAAUUGAGUUAAUUAGAUAAUGGAUGCUUAAUGAAGAUUAAUUAGCUUAUUAAUGGAUAAUGAGCUAAGAAACUUACUUCUCUUUUUUCCUCCCCUUUUUCCCUCACUUUUUUCUCCCUUUUUCUGCCCCAUUUCCCCUUUUUCCCUUUUCCCCUUUUCCCUUUUCCCUUUUUCCCUUUUCCCUUUUUCCUCUUUUCCCUUUUUCCUUUUCCCUUUUUCCUUUUUCUUUUUCCUUUUCCCCUUUUCCCCUUUUCCCUUUUCCCUUUUCCCUUUUUCCUUUUCCCCCUUUUUCCCUUCCCCUUUUUUCCUUUUUUUCCCUUUUUCCUUUUCCCUUUUUCCUCUUUUCCCCUUUUUCCUUUUUCCCUUUUUCCUUUUUCCUUUUCCCUUUUUCCUUUUCCCCUUUUCCUCUUUUCCCCUUUUUCCUUUUUCUUUUUCCUUUUCCCCUUUUCCCUUUUCCCUUUUUCCCUUUUCCCCUUUUUCUUUUUCCUUUUCCUCUUUUCCCUUUUCCCUUUCCCCUUUUUCCUUUCCCCUUUUUCCUUCCCCCCCUUUUCCUUUUCCCCCUUUUUCCUUUUUCUCUUUUCCCUUUUCUAAUUUUCUCUUUUUCUCCCAUUUUCUCCUCUCUUUCUGUCCCUUCCCCUCCUCCCUCCCCUCUUUUCCCACUUCUUUCCCCUCUCCCCUUUUUUCCUUUUCCCUUCCCUUUUCCCCCUUUUUCUCUUCCAUUUUCUCCCCAUUUCUCCCCAUUUUCCCCAUUUCUCCACAUCUUCCCCCCAUUUCUCCCCGUUUCCUCUUUGUUCCUAUUUCCCCCUCAUUUUCCCCAUGUUUCUCCCCAUUUCUCCCCAUUUUUCUCCCAAUUUCUCCCCAUUUUCCCUUUGUUUUUCCCCAUUUCCCACCCAUUUUCCCUGUUCCUUCCCAUUUCCCCCACAUUUUCCCCCAUUUUCCCCACGUUUUCCCCCAUUUUCCCCCAUUUUCCCCCAUUUUCCCCAUGUUUUCCCCAUGUUUUCCCCCAUUUCCCUCUAUUUCUCCCCCAUUUCCCCCAUUUUCCCCGUAUUUCUCCUCAUUUCUCCCCAUUUAUUCCUGUUCCUCCCCAUUUUCCCCAUGUUUUUCCCAAUUUUUCCCCAUUUUCCCUCCAUUUCCCCCCUUUUACCCCACAUUUUCCCCUUUUCCCCCACUUCUCCCCAUUUUCCCCACAUCUCGCCCCAUAUUUUUCCCCAUGUUUUUCCCCAUUUCCCCCGUGAUUUUCCCCAUUUCCCUCCAUUUCCCCCACGUUUUUCCCCAUUUCCCCCAUUUCCUCCAUGUUUUCCCCCACGUUUUUCCCCAUUUCUUCCAUUUCCCCCAUGUUUCCCCAUGUUUGUCCCCAUUUUUCCCCAUUUCUCUCCAUUUCCCCCAUGUUUCCCCCAUGUUUUCCCCAUGUUUCUCCCCAUUUCCCCCAUGUUUCCCCCAUGUUUCCNNNNNNNNNNNNNNNNNNNNNNNNNNNNNNNNNNNNNNNNNNNNNNNNNNNNNNNNNNNNNNNNNNNNNNNN
rnacentral:lncRNA from 1 species